UCAUCUUUACUGUGUCAUUGGCAGGGGACUCUUGCUCAAACUUCACUUGAUCCAGAUAUUGACUUGGAAUCAGAUAAAAAGCAUCAAAGAUUUAAUAUGUGGAAGCAUUCCUAUAUAAAGACUUGUGCUGCUGUUGACCAGGAGCUAGAGCAGCACCGUAAGAUUGAUACAUUCCAUAGUGGAACAACAGCCUCGACAAUUGUCAGACAGGGAGAAUUCAUUUUUGUAGCAAAUGUUGGUGACUCUCGUGCUGUAUUGGCUACCACCUCAGAUGAUGGAGACUUGGUACCAGUUCAGCUUACUGUUGACUUCAAGCCCAAUUUGCCUGAGGAGUGUGAACGAAUACUUCAAUGCAAGGGACGAGUGUUCUGUUUGGAAGAUGAGCCAAGGGUGCACAGAAUUUGGCUGCCAGAUGAGGAAUCACCAGGACUAGCAAUGUCUAGAGCCUUUGGGGAUUACUGCAUAAAGGAUUUUGGACUUGUUUCUGUGCCUGAAGUGACCCAAAGGCAUAUAACCAGCAAAGACCAAUUUGUUGUGCUGGCAACUGAUGGGGUAUGGGAUGUCAUCUCUAAUCAAGAAGCAGUGCAAAUUGUAUCUUCAACAGCUGACAGGGCAAAGGCAGCUAAACGUCUGGUUGAAUCAGCAGCACAUGCAUGGAAACGCAAGAGGAAGGGAAUUGCAAUGGAUGAUAUAUCGGCCAUUUGUCUUUUCCUCCAAUCCUCUCCUCACACUCAGGAAAUUUCACAUGUUGGUACUCCAAAAUAGUGAUCAGAAAUUGUUAAUUUCUUAUUACAUUGAAUUAGAAAGAAUCUGAUGGUGCCAGGAAGAGUUAUGGGAAUCCAUGGAGAAACAGAAUCAAUGGAACUUCCCCUUUCUCUUGCG
rnacentral:misc_RNA from 1 species